ACCCUACUCUAAUAAAGCUUUAAUAUCUGGAGCUCAUAGGUGGGAGAUAAAGUAUACAUACUUACAAGACAUUUACUGUAUAGUCAAACCAUGGAUCCAAAGAAACAAAUCAAUAAGCCAAAUCAAGAUGUGCAUGUGUGGCGAAUGAAUGGUGUAUGGUGAUGAUGGUGAUAACAAUGGUGAAAGUCUAAUUCUACUUUUGCUCUUUUGAGGGGAUACAUACCUUCCUUGCUUUUUGAAACUUUAUGAGGAGAAUGAGAUGCUCUUCUUUUUCUUUCCUCUCAGGUGGGUAUCUUGUACCCCUAAUUCUACUGUCGGACACUUGUGCAUUUUUACCUCUCGUCUCACUAUUUUUUUUUCUUUCGAGGUUGUAAAUUUUCUUCUCUCCCUUCUCUUUUUUUAGAGCACUCAUCUCAUGAGAUAAUAUAGCAAGUGGUAGUAACAAGAUAACUUGAGCAUUUAUUUCACAAGGAAAAAUAGAAAUAUUUUUGGUUAUUCUCUCCCGGAUUAGGAGUAGAAUAUUUUUGGGUGGUUCUGGAGAUGGAAAUGAGUGGAUAUAUGUGGAUGGUACUUCCGGAGUAGAAGUAGCAUAUAUGAGUGAAUGUGCAAGUGAAAUCUUGAUUUAACCACAUGACAAGCUCCUAAGGGUCUACACAGCUUGACCACACUCAAUGCUCAUAAGCAGUAAAUAGUAAAUGUGUGGCUCAAAGUCUAGCAAGCAUGUAUAUAUGGCUGUGGUACGAAUUUAAACUUUCAUCAUACAGGAACUCAUCAUGAAAUAUUUUAAAGAUUUUUCAAAGAUAAAAUUCUCCAGAAUUCUAGCAUCUCUAGGAACAGAUAAACAGCAGCUCAACCUUCCCAUAUCAUAUCCGUUAACAACUUAGAUUUCAGAUCAAGGUUUCAUCCCACAAGUUUAGAUCUAGAGCAAGCUUUAAAUUAUAACAGUUAUGUCUAAACUUGAGAGAGAACUUCAAAUUUGCAAAUUAGGCAGAGGAACUAUUCAUCAUAUCCAUGCUAGAGUUUUAUUAUUAAGAUUCAGAUUAGCAUAGUCACUUUAUUUAUUAAACACACUAAGCAAAAGAUAUAUAUAUAUAUAUAUAAGCACAAAAUCUUUAUUUGGUUUUUCAUAGUUUAUGUAUUUUAAUAUUCUAAUAUAAUAUAAGUAUAAAGAUAGGUAGAAAUACUUAGCAAGAUAAAUGGGGGUGCUCUCCCCCAAGCUGAAUUUUGACGUAAUUUCUCUUGAUGUAGCUAGCAGGUGGCAGAGGUGUAUUUAAAAGUCAGCAGCAUUCUGACAGCGAUUAGAAUGUCCUCCAUCUGCUAGUCUUCUUGAUUCUUAAAUUCUGUGGAGCUCAAAUAGACAACAAAGCUUGUGGAACUAAUUAAGUGUUAGCAUAAAUAUCUAGCCUUCAUCAUGUUGAGCUUCCUCAAUAAAUAUUACUCCCUGUUUUUAUAUUUUUAUUUUAUAAAGCAGAAAAGAAAUAUUUAUUUUAUUUUUAUGCCACCACAGUGAAGGUACUUAUGGGUUUUAUGCCACUCGUAUACACACAUGGGGCUUAGUAUUUUUUAACAUUUUUAUUUUCUUUUCAAGAUAGCAUGAUUAACCAAUAAUCUAUUUAAGGAAAGUAAAUAAUUAAAGAGAAAAGGGAAUGCAGAAAGGAUAAAUAUGGAUAACUACCGAUCUUACCUUUCGGCGAUGGUUCAAUGUUUUAAGUCUUCUUAACAAGACUUCUCACCGUGUUCAUUCUUCAGGUGCGUCAUUUGAUUCAAGUGCGGACCUUGACGUCUGCACCUCUUUGUUUGCCUAGCAGUUCGAAGUGCGGCGUUGGCAGUAUCCUGCUCAGUGUGUUUGUUCUCGUAGAUCCAGGUCCUUUACUUGGUAGAGUGUGAGAGUUAUAGAACUCCUCCGUGUCUUGCUCGAAGUGUACCUGCUCAUAGAGACAAGGUAGAGAUCAAGUGCAUGGGUCCUGUUGGUGGAAAACACCAACAGAACCUAAAGUGUAUUUGUUCUUCUCUAACCCUAAACAUAGUGAGCAAGACAAAGUUGAUGGAUGAAAAGUUCAUGAGUGUAGCACUUAUAACAUUUGUCAGAUCAGAUCGCUCAACCUUAUGGAAAGAUAAUCUAUCUAUGUAUAUGUCUUUUUCUUUAUAUCUCUCAAAGAUUGAAUGUGUAACAUUUUAGCUCAUAUGAUUAGGAGUGUGGGAUCAUGGAGGUACUACUAAGAACAAGGAUUAAAGGACUAAACAUGUUGAAUGAGUUGGGUUGGUUAAUCUAGAGUUGUAAAUCAUACAUGUUUGUCUCUUUUAUUUAUAUGAACGCUAGAACCAAGAAGAAGCUUAUAAAAGUGAUAGUCACAUACCUUAAGAUGUUACCUUGCUUGAAGAGUGAUGGUACAGUAUCACCUUGUGGAAGCUUUCCUUUCUUAGCGGUUGUGCAUCGUGUUUGUGGCACCCUCCAUGGAUCAUCUCUCUAUGAUGAAUGAGCUAUGUCCUUCUUGUGCAAAUUGUGAAACUUUAUGUGUCACUCUCUUCGUCUCUGAUGUGAGUUUAUCUCAGGACUUCCCAAAUCGAUAUUGAAAUUUUUUCUGCAGGGGUUAGUCCGACAAAUAUAUACCAAUGUCUACACAAGCAGUUUUUAGUUCAAUAACCGAACUAGACUCCAUGUCUAAUCAGAUUAAGUAAGGCUGUUUAACCUAAGCACCAUGCUUAAUUUAAAAGCCAAUAGAAGUAUGUGCAGUACUUCCAAACUAACACUUACUAGUAAAUAGACAAAGGUAACAUGACAACAUUUAUAGAGAUCUACUCAAGUGGAGAUGAAGUAGUGUGAUUAGUAUUUAACAAAUUGAGCAUGUCUUAAAGGUAGGGACAACCAACAUAGCAACAUGGCAAAGAAUGUUUUUAUGUAAAGUACUCCUCCAAGCUUGAAUUUUGCAGAAUUCAAGUUUGGAUGAAUUUAAUUCAGUGUUGCAUGAUGAUUGGUUGGACAUACCUUGUACUUGCUUGUCAUUCAUCUGAUCUUCUUGUUCCAAUCCUAGAAAGGUUAGUGACAAGAAUACCCGAAGGAAUAUUUUUACAAUUAUCCUUAUAUGCUCAAUACACAAGGUAAUGCUGCAAAUAAUUAAAAACUCAUGUUACGAUCUGAUCAGUGCUUAUUUUAGGACACUAAGCUUGUCCUUGGGAAACCAUCAAUUUAUGUCGGCGAAGUGGUUUCCCUUCCAGCGCUGACCUAUAUCAAGAUCAACUCAACGAGAUCUGCAAUAUUUAUUAUAGACAUAUGCAUCGACAACCGCCCUUUUAAAGUUUUUAUAAAUAGAAAGGAAGAGGGGGUUGGAGAUCUCAAAUGUGGUGAUGUUGGAGAGACCAAUAGAUUGGGAAGAUGUUGCAUAUGAGCAUGGAGUAAACAAAGUGGCUAUGAAAUAAAUUCCAUGCUCAUUAAUGUUAUCUUCGUCUCCAAUCUGAAUGUUCAGAGUUUCUCUUGGAUUGGUCUCACUUAUGUCCUCUUCUAUAGUUGGAUGAAUCUCAUCUUCAAAGGGAGUCAAUAACUCACCAUUUGAAAUUGAACAAAAGUCAGAAUUCAUUAAGGCUUCUUCCUUAUCCAUCCAUUCUACACAUUCUAGCCAUUUAGAACUUGUGAUCAGGAAAGGGGAGGUGUUAGAAUUUUCAAUAUGGCUUAGCUCUCCUUCACUUGAUAUGUCAUCCUCGACUUCUUGCUAACAGGAACCAGGACAUUCUCUAUGAGAACCAUUAUUGCGAGGAUUUGAAUUAUCCCUGCUUAAAGGUCUCUUAUGGAACCAGAAGUCUAAACUAUCAGCAUCUGAAAGAUUUAAGGUCAGAAUUCCUUCCUCCCUUGGAGAAUUUUGGGGUAUUGAUGGUUUAGGAUCGAUAGCUAAAGUUUGGAAUUGAAAUGGUUGUGAUCUGGCUAUCGAAACUUCUUCUUCUUAUCUAGGAACUGGUUCUGUCUCUUUCUCAGGGAUAUUAAAGGUAGGAGACUUUGCACUUAAUAAAUCAAUCAAAUUCCAAGCUUCACUAGUAGGUAGGUGAUAGAAGGAUCCUCUAGAGGCUGUAUUCAAGGUUUGCUUAUUUCCCCACUAAGGCCCUCAAAAAAGUGAAUUAGAAGAACUUCUUCUGGAAUAGAAAGCUUUGGGCCAGUGAGAGUAAGGUUAAUAAAGCGGUCCCAUGAUUUGCUAAGAGAUUCUUCUUCCAGUUGUCUGAAAUAAAUAAUCUCACGCCGAAGUUCUGCCACUUUAGAGAUUGGAAAAUAUUUUAAAAGAAAACUAUUAUGUAACUCCUUCCAAUCUCCAUGAACACUCCCUACUUUGAGUUUGUACCAAUGUCUAGCUUUUCCCGUUAAAGAGAACGGAAAGAGCUUCCAUUUGAGGGUCUCAUCGGACACUCCUUCUAUGCGAAGGAGGUCACAAACUCGAUAAAACUCUCUUAGGUGUGUGUAUGGGUUUUCCUCACCUUCUCCUGAGAAAGGUUGUUUUUGAACAAAUUCUAUGUAUUCGGGGUCUAUCUCAAAACUAGAUGCUAUGAUAGGCUUUGAAGAUUUUGGUGGUUCGAGAUGUGUGCCCGAAGGUCUAUGAAAUUCAUAUAUAGACAUGUUUGAAUUCAUAAUAGACUAGAGAUCAAGGAUUAGAUAAAAAGAAAGAAUAACAGAAAUAAGGCAAAAGAUAAAAGGAAAAGUAUAUAUAUAUAUAUAUAUUUUAUUUUUUUAGAAAAUGAUUAAGCUAGUUCGUAGUCAACUCAGCAACCGUUUCCCCGGCAAUGGCGCCAAAAAUGCUUGUUGACACUUGCUAACACCACUUGAAUACUAGGUUGUCAUCCCCAGCAUGGCACUAGAGUGUACUAUGGUAUUUAUACGCACACAGAUAAUCCGCAAGCGCACGGAUACCGUUAUAACUUUUACCCGGUUAAAGGUUUUAUCGUAUCCACAGGGAAACGGCAGAACCAACUACGCUCUAACUUAACCAAGAUAGAUAGAUAGGUGUAAAUAGGAAAGAUGGUAGAAUUGAAUAAGAACAAUAUUAAAGGUAAGAUAAAAGUGAGUGAUAAUAUGGGAAUAGAGAAUAGAGCAAUUCUAGUAUAUGGGCGAUGGUAGCAGAAUAGAGAGUAUAACUAUGGUUUCUCUACUUCAAAGGGGUAUGUCUAUGUCUGGGACAAACCACGUGAUAAGAGUACACCACAAAGGAUGCUUAUCCUUAGGCCGAUAAACCCUACCCGUCCUGCUAACGAGAGGUGGACUACAGAGGACCAACGUAACUGUCACCUACGCGGCCUACCACACGAUCCAGCUAGACAGGGGAUAUCCACAAGUAAUCUAGAUCUAAGCACCUCGCUUACACCUAUACUACAACUCUCACCUAUAGCAUCCUGUUGAUUAGAAUACUCAAAAGAGUUGUGAACCAGAACAUAUAUAAUUAGUAAUUGCAUAAUGAAUUAGAAGUAGAUUACCAGAGUCAUCCCAUGAGCAAGCUUGAUUAGAGCUUGAUCAUGACGAAGUACAACCGGAGGAAGAACCGACAGGCCGGCCUCUCCUCUAAUCCUCCUUCGCUCUCCAUCUUGCUACUAUCUAGAUCUUACUCUAGUUUAGAGAAGAGAGGAGACCUCUCAUCUCUAAACCCUAGCUUUUGCUCUGUCUAUGAAUAAUGAAUAAUGAUCAAGGGGUGCCUCCUCCAGGGGCCAGGGGGUCUGGUUAUAUAGUCCCCUCAAGUGAACCUGGGCCGUCGGAUCAAACCGACAUUGAUUGAACGGUUAUUCUUGAUCCUUUAGGUCGGUGGAGAUCUCCCGAGAGAAAGAGUCCUGAUUGGGCUCCAAGUCAGGGCGGGCGCUCUGGGCAGGAGGGCAGGCGCCUUGCCUCUGGCCCCGUUCGGCCUCCGCUUCCUUCCCGUGGCUUUUGGAGUCUUCUAGAUGUAAGAUAAUUGCGCGGCACGUUAAUAUCUCUAUGUAAUCCCGACGUGUGGGCCUUUCUUCCGUAUUUCCUGAUAACCCCCUGCAGAAAUAGACAAACACCAAAACUCGUGGAAUUCUAUCAGAUAAAACCCUAAGUCUAGGUGUUGAUUUCAUUUAGAUCCUUUUCUUUGUUUAUUUGAUAAUUAAAUUUGAUACUUAAGGACCGUCAACACAUGCCUACACAAUACUUAUCAUUUACCCAUUGUACACAUGGAUAAACGCUAUAAAAUCCUAAACAUGUACAUAAUUCCAAUAUAACUAAGCCAAGCAUAUAACUAUGAUAAACUAAGAACAAUAUAAUUGCGAAUAUAAACAAGUAGAGCAAAGUCAUAAUCAAUAUAUUGAAGUAGAAUAAAGUCAUAUUCAUAAUAUUGAAGAACAAUGAUGAACAAUUGAAGAACAGUAGAGGAAUUACCAAGAAUCCUCUUGAUAGAUCCGGAAACCAAUCGAAGAUUGACUCCUUCUAGUUCUAAUCCUAUGUAGCUAUGCUAAACUAGAGAUCUAUUGAUGUGGUGGCUCUAGGGCUUGAUCAUAGGUUUCUUCUCCUGAGAUGGAUAAAUGAAUUAGGGUUUCAGAUUGCUCUCCUCCAGGGGCCAGGGGGUCUGCUUAUAUAGUCCUUCCAAAUGAAUAUGGGCCGUCGGAUCAAACCGACAUUAAUCGCACGGUUUUCCUUAAUCCCUUAGGUCGGUGGAGCAUGAUCCGCGAGGUGGAAGCUGAAUGGCCCUCAGGCCAGGGCGGGCGCCCAAGGGGGGAGGGCGGGCACCCUACCCCCGGGCCUCCCGCUCGUUCCCGUGGCUUCUAGACUCUUCUAGAUGUUAGAUAAUUAUGGUGCAUGUUAAUAUCUCUAUGUAAACCCGACCUGUGGGCCUUUCCUCCAUAAUUCCUGAUACCCCUCGUAGAAAUAGACAAACACCAAAACUCAUGGAAUUCUGUCAGAUAAAACCCUAAGUCUGGGUGUCGGUUGUAUUUGGAUCCUUUUCUUUAUUUAUUUGUUGAUUGUAUUUGAUACUUAAGGACCAUCAACAAACUCCCCCAAGGUUACCUCUUGCUCAUCCCUGAGCAAGGGUAAUCUUAGUGAUGGAUCAGAAGUUGCUGUAAUGCCUUUAAAAGUUGACGGUACACAUGCUUUCAAAUGAGGUCUCAUCUCUGAGUUAGAGUAAACUGUCAAGACUUAAACUUACUCAUUUUACCUUUUACCAUAGGACUUGUAACUGUCACUUCUGUCUUGAGCAGUUAAAAGAUAGAACGGUCUAGUCAAGUGCCAUGUCUCUUAUUCUUGAUCAGCUAUAGCUCUAGAGUUUUUGUAGAUUUUCAAAUAAAACUCAGAGAUUCCUUGUGUGACUCUCUCAGAUCUCUCUUUUGUGGUAUUUUUGGAUCCUUACCAAGGCAGUGAUGGUAUAUGCCUUCUCUCAAAGUAUGUAGUGUAACACUCCUAGUGUUAGCUUGCAUGUUAACCAUGAGCAUUACAUCAACACAAGCAUCAUCAUGCUCAUUCAUAAGCAUCUAUCAUGAUCACAUGUCAUCUUAUGUAUACCAUGUAUGAUUGAAUUGCUUGUGUGACUUGAAUUGAGUGACUAUAAGGGGUAACCAAUGGAAACAAGUGUACAUUGUCUUCCAAAAUACUUCAAUCAUGUUUAGAAUAUCAUUUAGAGCAAAGUCCAUGUUGAAGGUUUUGGCCAAAAAUGCCCCUAGGUUAGGGUUAAACCUAGAAUGGCUUAAUUGACUUCCUAGACCUCUCUUCAAAGAUAUUUUAUGAAAGUAAUGUUAGAAACAUUGCCUGUCUGUGGCACCUGAAGCAAAGUUGUAGAUAAUUUCAUAAGCUACAAAAGUUAUGUUGAUGACUUUUUAUGAAAAAGCUUAGAACACAUUCAAAAAUUGCUCACAAGCCAAAAAUUAGGGCUGAUUUCAUACUUAGCCGAAUUUGGCUAAGUGUUGGAUCACGCAGUUUCGAGGUAGGGCUGUUUGGAGCCUUGUAGUUUGAAAUCCAGACCGAGUUAGGCUUUGAGCUUGUAAUCAAAGUUGUAGAACUCGUGUAGCUCAGUCCAAAUGAACAAGUUUGAGCCAAAACCAUCGAGUGAGCUGAGAGUAAAACGUCGGUGAACUUUUGGUUUCACACACGGUCGACGACGACUGAAUCGUGCGAUUCAGUUUCGUCAGUCGCCGGCCGGCCGACGCGUGGAUGACCCAUGGCGGCCGUACAUCGACGGCGACCCCACCUGUCAGCCCCGGCGCCUUCACUUGGACGCCACGACGCCACCCCGAGCCCCGGCCGUCCUCAUUUCACCUCUCCAGCGCCCUCUCCCUUCUCCAUUUCGCCUCGGCGAGCUCCGCCGUGGAACGGCCGCGUCGCCCGAGCUCUUCUCGCCAUCUCCGGCCAAGCCAGCCCGCCAAAAGCUUCGCCAGAGCCUCCUCUACCUCGGCGUCACCUCUUUGGCCACCGUCGAGCAUGGGUAAGGCGGCAUUGCCGAGCUCCGAGCAGUUCUUCCUCGCCGGAGUUCCGCUCGAGCUCGCCGGCAACGUGGCCAGGCCUCUCUACUCCACCAUUUUCCUCCAUUCUUGUUCCUAUCGCUUCCCCUUGGUUCACUGAUGCUCGGCGUGAACCUCUACUGCGUCGCCAUUGCCUGGAUCCGCCGGCAUACCGCCGCGCAGCGCCGCCGCUCCGCCAUUCCCGACGGCGAGCACCCUAGAGCCCAGUAAAGCACGCGUAAAGUAGGUCAACAGAGUCGCCUUGAUGAGAGGAACACGUAGAUGCCCUUAGAUCCGGCCGAGACCUCAUCGUCGUCGAGCAUCGCCGGCGACGAGCAUCUCCCCUGUCCCCGUCUCACUGACGCGUGGGUCCCGGAUGUCAGUCUCUCGGUUUCACCCCCUGGGUCACUGUUGUUACAAAUCCUGUGCUGUUUUUUUAAAAUUCAUAUCUAGAGUUUUAGAGAUCCAAAUGUGGUGAUUCCAAUUUUGCUAGGUUCCAUCAGAAGUCUAGUUUUUAAUAAAAAUAUGAAACAUGCCAUGUUUUUGCAGGAAUAAAUAGAUAUAAAUUAAUCUUGGAUUUUCAGUGGGUAAUUAUAUCUCGAGAUCUGUUGAUCUGCUGGCCAUGCAAAUUUAGGGUGUUGUUACUUAUGUUAUGUGUAGUCUCUGAUAAAUUUAUCAUGAUUUUUGGAAGCAUGGUUGAGGAGUUAAAAAUCAUUCUUGCUUAAAUAGGAGUUUCUUGUGAUAUUUUUCAUAAAUAAGUUAUAGCUCCUUUUGAGAUGAAACUUGCUGAAUGUUGUACUUAUGAGUAGACAAAGCAAGGAAAAAUCUGAAAUCUGUUGUUUGACACUUUUUUGAUAGGGUUUCACAUUUAUGCCUUGCAUGCCUAUAAUAACUUGUUAUUUUUAUACCUCACAACGUGUAUUUGCAAAUGUUGUGAAAAUUUUACAGUGAUCUUAUGUUAGCCUAAGUAGCUCGCUGUAAUUUUCUUAGGAUUUUUGGAACAAUUGGAGUAUAUGUUCAUUAAAUCACCUUAAUAAUUAAAUAAAUAAAAAAGGUGAUGAUAGAAAUAGUUUUAGACCUUGCCAUGAUGUUUUCUGGUGUUUCUUAGAUAUGUUCCUUUGAUACAUUUUCAACAUGUGCAAAAUAUUAUUUUUGCUAUUUUUGCCUUUCCUAGAGCAAUUCUGUACAGCUGAUAGCAAAUGAUUAAGAGCUAAUUGAAGAUGAUGUUUUCUGGGAAACCUGUCUACAACAAACUUGUAACUAACUUACUGAUCUACUUCGUGUCCAAAUUUCAUGACAUUUGGUUCAGUAGUUUGAAAGUUAUGCAUGUUGCAAGUAGCCGCUGCAAAGUGCUUGCUCUCUGGAAUUCCCAGAGCAGCCAGCCAACUUUAUAGAUUUUAGCAUUUUUAAGUGGGGAACCAGUCUGGGUUGUCUAAAAGUGAAUUGUAGAUAAAUUGCUAAGCUUUCCAGAAAGUACUUACUUGCUUAAUUUGGUUAACAGAUGCUUGAGUUAUGGCUGAAACUUGUGACUGGUUGGUUUGUCUACUAAACCAGUGGCUGAGUAGGAGUAGCUAGUACUUUUUUAACUUGUCUAUUUAGUCUCUCUACUAGAGAAGAAGUAUGCACUUACUUGUUAGUCCUUGAUGCACUUAAUCUUAAGGGUUAUGCUCAUGUUAUACCUUGUUUGUGUCCCUUUUGCUCCUCAUCUUGGCAUCAUACAUCAUAUGUGCAUUCUCUUUAUUCAUCUCCUUGUCAUGCAUCCAUAGGUGUACCCAAGGGAGUAACGGUGCUGGAGUUCGAGUUGCCGGAGCCGGAAGGACAGCAAGGGGAGCUACCUCAAGAAGUUGAGGAGGAGGAGGACUUGCUGGAGUGUCCCGACCAUCGUCCAUCCACUUACGUUGAAGGCAAGCCCCGGAGCAUUAUAAGCCUCCUACUAUUUUAUUAUCAUGUUCAGCUAUCAAAUGACUAUGGUUAUAUAUAUUGUUGCAUUAAGUGGUAGGCGUUGAUAUGACACCUUUGCUGCAUAAUGACUACCUUGUCCACCUUAAACAAUACCAAAGUAGGUCCAGGAUCGAAGUAAUGCUUAGCCAUGCUUAGCUCGGUAGAAGCCGGGUGAUUUCCAGUCACCUGCGAGAGUUAGGUGGAUGAUGAUCAGGGUUGGCUAUAUUUGCUAUCGUGGAAUUUAACCAUGUGCUAAUAAUGAACUUGAGACCGGGCGGGAUGACGAUAGUGCAGCAACAAGGCAUGGAGGUCUUGGGUGUGAAUCUAUCCCCGUCUGUGUCGUUUAAGGACCGAAUCGCUGUACGUCCCCGUGUCAUGUUGAACGCAGGCCUAUCACUUAGUUGGCCGGAUAAGUCGUUCCGACCGCGAAGCCUAUGAGUGCAACUCCGGCCGGAUACCCUGAUCUGGUUAAAGUGCGCACCCCGGUUGGUAGUAAGGAUGUGCAGGGAGUCAAUGGCGUAAGACCGAGGUGUCAGGUUAGAGUCCUGACCCUGGCAGAUUGGCGGUCCCUGGGGGUGCGGCGCCGUGCGGACCCGCGAAUUGGUCCGGAGUUGUGCUAAAGGUGAUCCGAGCUGCCGUCAUGAAGUAUGCUUGGGUGAGUGUUAGGAAUACCCCUCCAGCUGGAUAGGAAUCGAUUCGAAUCGCCGUCUCUCCCGGAUAGUGAGAACUUGACUUGGGCAGCGGCAACGUAGAACUCACUAAAUAAACUUAAUGGUUAUGAUGAGAAUGAUGAUAGCUAUGUGAUAAUCCGGAUAUGGUUAUUAUUGUAAUGCUUAAAGACUCAAGUGUAUGCUUAGAGCAGGUGCUAAUCUAGUGGAUAGUUGCUAAGUAAUGAACUUGCUGCUGAAAUCUGAUAAAUGAAUUACUUAUAACAAAGGCUUUUAUGCAAAAAGUGAGUCAAACCAGUCCACAAAGAUCAGCCUUGCAUACUCCUUGGUGUCACUUUAUUUCUGGUUUAUGACGGGUAAGUCUAGCUGAGUACAUUCUCGUACUUAGGGUUUUAUUUACCCUUGUUGCAGAUGAUGUCGUUUACCACGGCUACUGUGCUAAGUGUCAUCACCCGGCUGCGGAUGAUGAGUAGAUCAUGGGCAUGAUCACCUCCUUUAACUUCAGUUGUGCUUUUGUUGGGACUUGACCAUAGAACUGGCAUGUAUUAUAAACUGAGUUGGUGUUGCUUCAAAACUACUUUGUUUCCGCUACCGCUAUGGUUUGUAAUAACCUCUUUAAACUCUGAUGUGAUGUAAAACUAUGUUCUGUGAUGAAUGUUGUAACCUGUGAUGGUGAUGCUUGAUCAUGUACGAUCUUGGUUGUAUGUUGGUUGAAUCGAGGUCUUUGAGAUUUCGUCGGACUACCGGGUUUAUAUGGGUUCAAGUCCAUUGGCUUGACUGCCUCCAUGGUCGCUAAUUCACUUGAAUUCUUAUAAAUUGGACGGUUCUGUUACAGCUGGCAUCAGAGCAAGAUUAAGCAUUUAUCCAUCAUAGAUGUAUUUAAAAACAAAUGAAUUUGGUUUUCUCAAGUUAAUUUGGCAAAAUUAGGCUAUAUGUAGGGCUGUUUCAAAAAAGUUUUUGAUAACUUAUACCAUGCCAGUGGUCAUACCCUUAUGCCCAUAUAAGGACUUCUAGGUGUCUUAAUAUUACUAACAUGGGGGUUUUUCCUUUCGUCAUCCAUAUGGCGUGUAAUUAUAUGGAUACCGCUUACUUAAGUGGUAAUGAAUGGAUCACAUACCUCUACGCCAUGGUAAGCAUUGUUUGUUUUAUUUCGUCGCCCAUACGGCGUGAAAUUGUAUGGAUGCCACUUGCUUGAGUGGUAAUGUAUGGAUCUAUAUGCGUCUACGCUACGGUAAGUGUGAGCUGUGAGAGCAUGACCGUCCAACCGUCGGUCUAGGGGAGUGUUAGCUGUGGUUACUGGAAUAUUUACAUGUUUCACACAUGUAUAUAUGAAGGUACUUAAUUGUGGGUAGUAGGUGCAGCCAUGUAUACAUAUUUGAUGUAUAUGUGGGUGUAUCCCUAAUGGGUAGUGUGCUGCGAUAUAUGUUUGGGAAUAUAUAUCGGAGUACCUAGCUUGAUUGUUGAUGAUUGGAUUUACAUUUCUGCACUUAUACUAUUGUGGGGCUGGGCUGAAAUGAAAUCUUCUGCAGGUACACUAACAACGAAACGUGUAGACCGGGUAGUUGCUGUUGAUAUUUGGUAACGCAAUUAGAAAAUGAUCCGCAAGCGCACGGAUAUCGGUGAGCAUUUCACCCGGGAGGUUUUCCAGAGUAUCGUAUUUAUAUUUUUACCACUGGGAGAAAGGGUACAUCUGACUAACCAAAUCUAUUGCUACUACCCCUUUAGGCUACAAAGAAUGUCUCUCGAUGUGAGUGAUGUAUAGAGAAGACUGCAACCGUAGUCUCGUUCUAACCUUGGUAAGGAUGAUCUACUGUUCUAUUGGGGAGGCUCACGGAAUCUAGACAACACAAAGGAUGUUCGACCCGCACCUAUAAACCUACCCGUCCUGCUAACGAGAUGUGAUCUGCAAAGGUAACUCGGAAAUGUCACGUUCCUCGCUACUACCACGGUCCAGCUAGUCAGGGGAUAUCUAUGAGUACCCUAGCCUAAACACCACGUUUACGCUAGCAAGUGAUUACUCUAAUACUCAACCGGAAGAGGAUUAAAGUAAACUCAUAAACCAAAGAACAAUAAAACAAGAACUUACUAGUAUUAGAAGUCGAAUUACUGAAGAAUCUUAGAAGCAAGCCUCGGGUUAGGAGACUUGAUCCCGUAGGUACAACUCGGAGUAGACACCGACAGGCCGGCCUUCCUUCGGUCCAUACCACCACUCUAUCUCUCUCAAUCUAGUAGAAACUAGAAGAUCUAUUUCUACUUUACAUUGGUUGCUAAGCCUAAAAAGAAAUAUUAUUUAGAGAAGAGGUUUUCCUUCGAGGGCACCCCUCAAUCUCUAUGAUAAUUUCUUGUCUUCUCCAGGGGCCAGGGGGGUCUCCUUAUAUAGUCCUCCUCCUCUAUGCAUUUUUGGUUCAGCAGGCGAUGUGGUACUAAACUUUCCACCAUAUCUCAUUAAAAUACACAUAGGCCUUCAUGGACCAAAAUCUGAUUUGGGCCCAAUUAAUCCCGCAGCUCUUUUAUGUGGAGUCCUUCUUUUAUUAAUAUCUCUUGAUUCCGAACCCAAAUAUAGCAAAUAAUAUAUGCAUUUCGAUCAGCUCGACGAGAUCUUUGUAAUGUUGUACUCCAUUCUGUGAUUGGUGGAAACACCUGGGCGGGCGCCCAAGGGGAUUGGGCGGGCGCCCUGCCCCCGGGCCCGUUCGGUCUCGCGUUCGUUCCCGUGGCUUCUGGAGUCUUCUAGAUGAUAGAAAAUUGCGCGGACGUUAAUAUCUCUAUGUAAUCCCGACGUGUGGGCCUUUCUUCCAUAUUUCCUGAUAACCCCCUGGAGAAAUAGACAAACACCAAAACUCGUGGAAUUCUGUCAGAUAAAACCCUAAGUCUAGAUGUUGAUUUCAUUUGGAUCCUUUUCUUUGUUUAUUUGAUAAUUAAAUUUGAUACUUAAGGACCGUCAACAAACUCCCCCAAGCUUACCUCUUGCUCGUCCCUAAGCAAGGAUGAACUCAAGAGUUUCUGCAGUGGUUUCAUUUCUUAAAAGUACACAUGCAUUCAAGCAAGAUCUCAUCUCUGAGUUAGAAUAAACUGUUAAGACUUAAAACUUACUCAUUUUACCUUUUACCAUGGGGCUUGUAACCGUCACUUGUGUCUUGAGCAGUUAAAAGAUAGAACGGUCAAGUCAAGCGCCAUGUCUCUUAUUUUUGAUCAGCUAUAGCUCUGGGUUUUUUUGCAGAUUUUCAAAUAAAACUCAGAGAUUCCUUAUAUGACUCUCUCAGAUCUCUCUUUUGUGGUAUUUAUAGAUCCUUACCAAGGCAGUAAUGGUAUAUGCCUUCUCUCAAAGUAUGUGGUAUUUGUGGUAUGAGGCAUAGUGAUAUUGCCUUCUCUCUCACCCUACUCUAAUAAGGUUCUGAUAUCUGGAGCUCAUAGGUGGGAGAGAGCUAAUACAUACUUACAAGACAUUUAUUGCAUAGUCAAACCAUGGAUCCAGAGAAACAAGUCAAUAAGCCAAAUCAAGAUGUGCAUGUGUGGCGAAUGAAUGUUGUAUGGUAAUGAUGGUGAUAAUGAUGGUGAAAGUCUAAUUCUACUUUUGCUCUUUUGAGGGGAAACAUACCUUUCUUGCACUCUGAAGCUUUUUGGGGAGAAUGAGAUGCUCUAUAUUUUAUUUCCUCUCAGGCGGGUAUCUUGUACCCCUAAUUCUACUGUCGGACACUUGUCCAUUUUUACCUCUCGUCUCACCUUUUUUUCUUUUCUUCCGAGGUUCCGGGCACUUGCCCCUUUUUAUUUCCUCGUAUAUUUUUUAGAGCACUCAUCUCCUUAAAUAAUAUAGCAAGUGGUAGUAACCAAGAUAACUCGAGCAUGUAUUUCACAGGGAAUAACAGGGAUAGGAAAAUAUUUUUGGCUCUUCUCUCCCGGAUUAGGAGUAGAAUAAUUUUGGGUGAAUGUGGAGAUGGAAAUGAGUGGAUAUAUGUGGAUGGUACUUCCGGAGUAGAAGUAGCAUGUAUGAGUGAACGUGCAAGUGAAUCUUGAUUUUAACCACAUGACAAGCUCCUAAGGGUCUACACAGCUUGACCACACUCAAUGCUCAUAAGCAGUAAAAAGUAAAUAUGUGGCUCAAAGUCUAGCAAGCAUGUAUAUAUGGCUGUGGUAGGAUUUUAAACUCUAGGAACUCAUCAUGUGUUAUUUUAAAGAUUUUUUUCAAAGAUAAAAUUCUCCAAAAUUCUAGCAUCUCUAGGAACAGAUAAACAGCAGCUCAACCUUCCCAUAUCAUAUCCGUUAACGACUUAGACUUU
rnacentral:lncRNA from 1 species